rnacentral:sRNA from 1 species
UACUAGCCCCGAUGGAAACGGCAUCCUUUUUUAAGUUCAUUGUGCGUAGUCGAAAUGAACAAAAAAGAUACAGUGGACAGCGGGAAAUAGC